rnacentral:rRNA from 1 species
GAUGAACGCUGGCGGCGUGCCUAAUACAUGCAAGUCGAGCGAACGGACGAGAAGCUUGCUUCUCUGAUGUUAGCGGCGGACGGGUGAGUAACGCGUGUAUACCCUACCUAUCAGACUGGGAUCACUUCGGGAAACCGGCGCUAAUACCGGAUAAUCUUUUGCACCGCAUUGUUCAAAAGUGAAAGACGGUCUUUCUGGCUGUUGUAGCUGGAUCCGCGCUUCAUUAGCUUGUUGGUAAGGUAGCGGCAUACCAAGGCAACGAUGGAUAGCCGGCACGAGAGGGGGACCGGGGACAUGGGGCCUACGAGAGGGCCCAGAAUGCUACGGGCGGCAGCAGGGGAGAACAUGGCAGAGUGGGCGGAAGUCAGAGGCAGCAACGCCGCGUGCGGGAUAACGGCUUUUGGGGUAUAAACAGAUUUCGCCUGUGACGAACAGAGCGUGACGGUAAUGGGUAAAAAAGCACCGGCUAACUACGUG